rnacentral:rRNA from 1 species
GUUGAACGCUGGCGGCGUGCUUUACACAUGCAAGUCGACCGGAGACAGGCAGCAGGGUGCUCUCACGGGUCGCGCGGGGGGGUAGGGCGACGAAACGUUCCCAAUCUAGGGGGAUAAGUACUCGAACGAGGAGCUAAUAACGCAUACGCCGUAUGGAAGCUACGGGGGGACCGAAAGGCCCCUCGCGACUUGCGCGGUCGAUUGAAGCGAUGUCGGAUUAGGUAGUUGGUGGGGUAAAGGCCCACCAACGCUACGAUGCGUAGCUGGUCUGAGAGGAAGACCAGCCACACUGGAACUGAGACACGGCCCAGACUCCUACGGGAGGCAGCAGUGGGGAAUUUUGGCCAAUGGGCGCAAGCCUGAUCCAGCAAUGCCGCGUGCAGGAAGAAGGCCUUCGGGUUGUAAACCUCUUUUGUAAGGAAAGAAAAGGCUCUGGUUAAUACCCGGGGGUAAUGACGGUACCGUAAGAAUAAGCACCGGCUAACUACGUG